UUGGUUCUGCUUCAGGAGGACGAGUUGGGUGCCGGAGUCACAGCAGCAGCAGGCUCCAGGGGUACAGGUGGGUGCUGGGGCACUCUGGGGACAGGUGGUGGUGUUUUAGGGGGACGAGGGCACUCCCCGUGAGCUAACUACCACAGGAAGGGGUUGGGGUUGUUGUAGGGACCUGGUCUCCUACAGCAUCACUCAAUGCAGUUGGUACUUUACACUUUUCCCUUUCUAGCUUUUUCUGUUUUAAAUUCACGUUUGGUUCCCUGGACACCUUUGCUCAGUUUUCCCAUCUCCCGGAAUUAAAGGACAGCUCUGUACAAGGACCCGGGGCCAUGCCAUAGGCAGCCCUCUCUCUGGGAGGAAUUUUUCCAGGAUUGCUGCUCUUUGGAAGAGUGCCUGGUACAUGAGUAUGGCUAUCCAUCACCUUUGGAGCCACUCAAAUGUUUCUCUUCCAACUGCACAUACCCCACUUCCCUGGGACAUACUUUGCUACUUGCCUUUUGGAUGUUUCCAUUUUCCCACUUUGGAUUUCCACCCCAAAAAAAUUAUCGUCCCACGGAGCUGGGGCCUUCACAACGCAAAUGAGGGCAGCUGCACCCAGAUGGCUGAACAAACGAUGACUUCAAUUAACUCUGCCUCCAGCACAUCGACAGAGGUGCUUUGUGCUGUACUCCUAUCAAGAGGUUAUAGCAAUGCAGUAUGUCUCUUUUACAGUCUCAUUAAGUCAUAGCUGUGCUGGAUUAAAGUCUCCAUCUUAUCAAUCAUUUUUCUAAACUGUACUAGAAGUGAACAAAAUCUGAACUGGAAGGCAAGUGUAGCACGACACUAAUUAUGGGCCAAACUUUGUGUUGCGUUUUAGCUUUUCCAAAAGCAAUGCAUGAUACACUUGGUGAUUAGAUUUUUUUCUCUUAGAUUUGGAAGGAACAAACUGCAAUUUUUUUCUGAAAUAAAAUAGUUAUACCGCAGAGAUCUUGUUAAGUAUGUCACAGUUCAAAGAUGGGAGAUAUAGUGGUGUAUUAUCCUUCUUUUGCAGCUGCAAUACUGAAUUGCAUCUCUGGAGAAGCAGGGAUGUAUCAGGUGUGGGUUGAUCUCUGUGCUCAAAUAUUACCUUUGGAAAGUGUUUUGUUUACAGAAGCCAGCAUGCCACAGUGCUUGGGAACAGCCCCAGCAAUGCCAUUACACUUAAUGCUGUGCUCCAAGCUGAGGUAGCAGGGAUGUAACCGGACUCGUGUGAGGCAGCACGGGGAUAUCUGCAGGAGAGCACGGCUGGCCAGAGGUUUGUCUUUGCCUUCCCCAGAAGGAAGAUGGAGAUGGGCAGGAGCUGGAGGUAGGAGAGAGGACAGCGUGGCUGCUGCCCUAAAGCUGGACAGAAACCCCUCACGGGCACCUGGGCCAUGUGUCUGAAUUCCUCUGGGAUCUGUCUGAGGACAGUCAGCUGAGGGGAAAUGGAGUGCAGUCCUCAAUUUCCUUUCCAGCACAAACUGUAGGACUGCUGUUGGGAUUGUUUGCACGUACCCCACUGUAAAAAAUGACCCUGACCUCUAGUCAGCUGCAUAAAAGCCUAUCUUAAAUAAGGAAACCGUGUAUUUAUUGUAAGAAUUGAAGUCGCUGUGGUAAAAGAAGGAGAAAAGGCAUGCAUUAUUAAGUGCAGCAAAGCUUUUUUUUUUUAAAGUGUUUUCUUAAAAGCAAGAAUACUAUCUAUGGUAUUGUUACUAGAUUACUAGAUAGGAGCAACAUAGCUGUUAGUCACAGGGGGCAAAGGCAGGAGCAUUAAACAAAUUUGUUCUGAAAAUAAGCAAUGAACUAACUAAGGGCUCUUAAAGUUGCCUGAACGAGCUCUAGCCUACCUGGAGAGCCCCAGAGGUAUAGAACUAAAUUUCGCAUCCAUCCAUCCAAGGCAUGGUAGGGGAAUGGCAAAACUUUCAACCCAUGAAUUACAAAAGGCCAGUACAGCUGCUGCUGGUCUAUAUGGCUUUCUACAAGAUAGAAAUUAUCAGCCACACUUUACCCUUGAUACAAUGUGCAUUUUGUUGUUGUUUAACAUGGAAAAUUUAUUUAAGGAUAAAGAAAGCAGGCUAUACCUACAGGCUCUUAAACUGUCUGCAGAACCCCAGUUCUGACAGGGCUUCUACGUCAUGGCAAUUUAAUCAGCAGAAGGUAAGACAUCGGGACCAAAGGAACAAAUAAGCAUUUGUUCUUUUUUUUUGUUCAAAAUACACCCAUGCACUUUUUAAACAGAGGAAUACAGAUUUAUGUGUCAGUGAGGUUGUGUUGUCUCUGUGUUCACUUUAGUGAGGCUGCUACUGGAACACUGUGUUCAGCUCUAGCAUCCCGAAUUUAAGAAGAUGAUGCUAAUGAUUUGGCAAAGAUUCAAAUAAGCGCUAUGAACACAGUUACACUAUGAAAAUGUCUUCCGGUUAAUUGCAAGAAAGUCCAAGGCUCAGAGCUUGCAAGUCUCAUUCAUAAAAUGGGAAUUGGUAAUGCAGAGCCUGCCACUGUGGAAAAAAAUGUAAGAAAGAAAUCUGAGUGACAUGAGAUAUAUUCAGACAAAAACUGUAAUUUCUGAACACCAAGGAUAACUAGCCAUUGGAACUGUUGUGCUGAAUGUCCAUAGAUAGGAAAAAAAUUAAACUCAAUACUUAAUAUUUUUCUAGACAUGAUCUAAUUAAAAAAUCCAGAAGCAUGGAUUAUGGAUUGGUAUCUUCUGGAGAAGACAAAGAACCGUAUUUUGUUUGAAAUAGGUAAAAUUUGUCACUGCUUCCUUCUGCUCCCCAAGCAAUCCUUGCGUGGGUAACUUCUCCAAGGUAUUGGUAGCGGAGGCAACUCUUCAGGAGAUUGAUGGCCAUGGGGGAUAUUACAAGCACAAAUGAACUCUUCUGAUUAAGUGAGGGACCCACUGAGCGCUUUGCUUCGGGGCUUCGUUCUUCAGCGAGGUGGCAGGAAACAAACAGGAGCAUCCAGUUGUCUGUGCCCAGGUAUGUCCUAAAAGGGGGUUUGCAGCUAUAGGAUGAGGGAGUGGUUUUCUUCCUAGCGCCACCCUUUAUGAACUGGGAAGGUCCCUGGGCUGAGUGCAGGGUUGCUGGGGUACAGGGCGUGAGUGGCUCAUUGACUCCGGAGUUGUUUCGGUCAUGGCACUCAGGAGCUGAAGCUGUGCCAAGUGCCUCGCCAGGCCUCACACUUCCUCUCCCUUCCACAGGCGUUACAGCACAAGCUCAGAAUAUUUUCCCCAAAGCCUGCUUUUAAUUAAUGUAUGCAGUUUUGUUGUCUGUCCAGGAUAUGGCAAAUGUUAGGUGUCAUUAGCUAAUACCUGCUGUGCUCCAUUUCCCGACGAUGCUGUAUUUUUUUCUAAAGCAAUUCAUUUCUCGCUUUGAGAAUAUCCUGUGGACAUGCUUUGUUCAAAUUCAAGAUGUUAUUUGUGUGCAAAAAUGGUCACGGUGUACCAUUUGAAAAGGAGCUAAUGUGAUAGCAAACAAAUGGAGUGUGUAAAAAACAAAAUUACUUAAGAUGCUGUGUGAUUUCCUCUUCUCUAAUACAGCAUGAAAAUGCCAAGGAGAUUUGUGCCCAGUGGAAAUCAGCAGGCUGGAAUUAGGCAAUAUUUACUGACAGGGAUUAAUCCUCAUACAGGUGGUGUGGAGUGAGGCUGGUUAGGCUGUGGGGCAAAUGAAAUUUCCCUGCAAACGAACCAGUGUCAGCCCAGUCCUAACCAGGCAGGGAAGGGGGUGUUUAGCGAAUGACAACAUUGCAUAAACUCAUCUGGUAGGAGGAGUGCCAACUAAUGUCAGCAAUCCUUUUCCAUCUCGAACACAUACUUUUUGGUACGUAGACUUUAUAUUUGGCAAAGGGGAAAGGAGAUGUAGGCGUCAUUAAUAAUGAAGAGAUUUUAAUGAAAGUUUGAAUGGAUUUGUGAGCCACUGAACGUGUAUUCAGAGCACUUUGAGUGGCAGUUCCAUUACACACACAAAUGCCCUAAUUGGCAAUCGGAUCUGAGAGCACUGCGCUUGCUGUCAAGCAGCCACCAGCCUUCUGGGGAGAUGUGGCUGAUGCUGGCGGAGUGAAUUAAAGAAAACUGCUUCUUCCUCCACGUCCUGAGAUUGCUGGUUAUAAUUCAGUUUGUUCUCUUUGUUUGAAAACCUUUGAGUAGUUCUUACGUGCAGUUAAUAUUUACAGCGUGACGGGCAUUUCUCAUUCCUGUAGCUUCAGCAGUGCACAGCAGCAAACGGAGUGGUGGAGUUUCCUAAGGCAGCAAGGGAGAGGAGCAGGUCCAGCUCGUUGUGAAUGCAGCAGCAUCCUGUAGGGAAUAUAUUCUUAAGUUAAGAGUAAAAGUCACAGGUAAAAGAGUUUUUAUAUCUUCCCAACAGAGACUGUUCCACAGCCUGAUAUCUCCCAUGCUCAAAAGUUUCCUGCAAGCCAGAGAAAUAACUCUAUUCCAUUUGGCCUCCUCCAGCAUAGCCUUUUUUUUUUUUUCCUGUUUGUUUGUAUUCGUAGAGCUGAGCUCCAAAGCAUUUUCUAUCAGCUUAUCCUUUAGAGUUGUAUCGCAAAUUCUGCAUUCUUGUUUCCAGUUCUUUGUUGAAGAUUGCAUUUAUUUAUUUAUUAACAUGAGGUGGGGAUAAUAUGCUUUAACUCUUGGUUAGCCCUGAAGAGGUCAGGCAGUUGAACUGGAUGAUCUUUGAAAGUACUUUCCAACAGGGCUGUUCUGUUCCAUUUUAUUCCAUUCUGUUCCAUAGUUGAAAAAUGAGAAGAAAAGGAAAAAAUCAUUUGUUACCUGGAGGAACUUGAGAAAAGGAAAUUUUUUCCUUAUAUCUGGUCUGAACCUCCCCUGGAGCAGCUUUGUGCUGUUCCCUCACAUCCUGCCAACUGUUACCAGGGAGAAGAGACCGGCACCUCUCUUUUAUCACCUUUGUUGCCCUCCUCUGGAUGCUUUCAAGGACCUUACCAUCCUUUUGAUAUUGUGGAGCCCAGAACCACACACAGUACUCAAGGUGAGGCCACAGCAGUGCUGAAUAUAGCGGCCAGCCGGCUGUGCCAUGUUUAAUGCACCCCAAAAUGCAGUUUGCCCUCCUGGCUGCCCUCAUGGUGCUGCCUCACGUGGAGCUGCUGCUGACGUGGAUGUCCCGGCUGCCAGCACUGAUGGUCGUGUACCCAAGCAGAGCCGGGGCUGCCAGCUGUUAUUUAUUGCACGGUAUGUCCACAAACGAGGCACACAGCAACACUGAGCUUUUCUGUGCGUGUACAUUUUCCUUUUGCAUUUCCUACAUUGUAAAAUAAUUCCUGAGGCUGUUUUAGGCACUGCGGGCCAGCCCUCGUGCUCCUGGCACAGGGCAGAAGCCAGACCCCGCUGGGAGCCGGGCAGUGGCUCCAUAGCAGCGCUGCUCCUGCAUGGCCCUGCUGGCGUUCCGAAAUGGAGGCAAGCAGGGGGAAAAUCCUAACCUGAUUGUGCAGGAAUAAAGGACAUAAAAGUGA